UCCUGUCCAACGUUAAUCGGGGCAGGGUGAGUCGACCCCUAAGGCGAGGCCGAAAGGCGUAGUCGAUGGGAAACAGGUUAAUAUUCCUGUACUUGGUGUUACUGCGAAGGGGGGACGGAGAAGGCUAUGUUGGCCGGGCGACGGUUGUCCCGGUUUAAGCGUGUAGGCUGGUUUUCCAGGCAAAUCCGGAAAAUCAAGGCUGAGGCGUGAUGACGAGGCACUACGGUGCUGAAGCGACAAAUGCCCUGCUUCCAGGAAAAGCCUCUAAGCAUCAGGUAACAUCAAAUCGUACCCCAAACCGACACAGGUGGUCAGGUAGAGAAUACCAAGGCGCUUGAGAGAACUCGGGUGAAGGAACUAGGCAAAAUGGUGCCGUAACUUCGGGAGAAGGCACGCUGAUAUGUAGGUGAAGCGACUUGCUCGUGGAGCUGAAAUCAGUCGAAGAUACCAGCUGGCUGCAACUGUUUAUUAAAAACACAGCACUGUGCAAACACGAAAGUGGACGUAUACGGUGUGACGCCUGCCCGGUGCCGGAAGGUUAAUUGAUGGGGUUAGCGGUAACGCGAAGCUCUUGAUCGAAGCCCCGGUAAACGGCGGCCGUAACUAUAACGGUCCUAAGGUAGCGAAAUUCCUUGUCGGGUAAGUUCCGACCUGCACGAAUGGCGUAAUGAUGGCCAGGCUGUCUCCACCCGAGACUCAGUGAAAUUGAACUCGCUGUGAAGAUGCAGUGUACCCGCGGCAAGACGGAAAGACCCCGUGAACCUUUACUAUAGCUUGACACUGAACAUUGAGCCUUGAUGUGUAGGAUAGGUGGGAGGCUUUGAAGUGUGGACGCCAGUCUGCAUGGAGCCGACCUUGAAAUACCACCCUUUAAUGUUUGAUGUUCUAACGUGGGCCCCUUACCGGGGUUGCGGACAGUGUCUGGUGGGUAGUUUGACUGGGGCGGUCUCCUCCUAAAGAGUAACGGAGGAGCACGAAGGUUGGCUAAUCCUGGUCGGACAUCAGGAGGUUAGUGCAAUGGCAUAAGCCAGCUUGACUGCGAGCGUGACGGCGCGAGCAGGUGCGAAAGCAGGUCAUAGUGAUCCGGUGGUUCUGAAUGGAAGGGCCAUCGCUCAACGGAUAAAAGGUACUCCGGGGAUAACAGGCUGAUACCGCCCAAGAGUUCAUAUCGACGGCGGUGUUUGGCACCUCGAUGUCGGCUCAUCACAUCCUGGGGCUGAAGUAGGUCCCAAGGGUAUGGCUGUUCGCCAUUUAAAGUGGUACGCGAGCUGGGUUUAGAACGUCGUGAGACAGUUCGGUCCCUAUCUGCCGUGGGCGCUGGAGAACUGAGGGGGGCUGCUCCUAGUACGAGAGGACCGGAGUGGACGCAUCACUGGUGUUCGGGUUGUCAUGCCAAUGGCACUGCCCGGUAGCUAAAUGCGGAAGAGAUAAGUGCUGAAAGCAUCUAAGCACGAAACUUGCCCCGAGAUGAGUUCUCCCUGACUCCUUGAGAGUCCUGAAGGAACGUUGAAGACGACGACGUUGAUAGGCCGGGUGUGUAAGCGCAGCGAUGCGUUGAGCUAACCGGUACUAAUGAACCGUGAGGCUUAACCUU
rnacentral:rRNA from 1 species